rnacentral:rRNA from 1 species
UACGUAGGGUCCGAGCGUUGUCCGGAAUUAUUGGGCGUAAAGGGCUCGUAGGCGGUUCGUCACGUCGGGAGUGAAAACUCGGGGCUUAACCCCGAGCCUGCUUCCGAUACGGGCAGACUAGAGGUAGGCAGGGGAGAGCGGAACUCCUGGUGUAGCGGUGGAAUGCGCAGAUAUCGGGAGGAACACCGGUGGCGAAGGCGGUUCUCUGGGCCUUACCUGACGCUGAGGAGCGAAAGCGUGGGGAGCGAACAGG